AUGACAGCAGGGGGUGCUGAUUACCUGCCCACAGCGUCCUCGGAGCUCACUGCAGCGCUACAAAAGGAGAGGGAGAGAGACUUCAGUGCUGCUAUCGUCAAGUACAGGACAGCGGUGGAUAUCCUCAUCACGGGAGUCCAAGGCGACCCAGACCCCGUACGUCGGGAGGCGGUGAUGAGGAGGACCGCCCUGUAUCUAAAGCACGUGGAAACACUGGUAGACAUGCACUCGGCGCCCAGUGACGCUCAUACUUGACACUACAGAUGGAGUCAACUACCAAUACAAAGAAAACAAGACCCUGCCUCUCUCUCUUCACUUUUGAGGAUCAACAACCUGAAAAAGUCCAAACACAAGCAGUUUCCAUGCACAGAGCAGCCUGACUCGGCUUGUUGUUCGAAUAUCAUCUGAUUAUUUGGCGUAGACAAAGAGAUGUUUACGCCAAUCAGACUCCGUCAACAUACAGCACAAACCCUUUGAAAUUCUAAUCCUAAUACAUUUAAUACAUUAUAAUAAACACAAAGAGGAUCAUAAUGAUGGAACAAGCCAGGCAGAGGUGGAGGCACCAUUCCUUUGUAGGAAGGAACGUAACGUACAACACAAAGUACAGAAGUAAAAGUACAGUGAUGAAGUACUAAUUUUUUCUGUCUAACCACAUUAAACUUUAAUCAGACAUUUAACCAAACACUUUUCUACUCUUACAUUAGUUUCUCAUUCUUCUAUUAUAGCACUAAUUUUGUUAUUGUCAUUUAAGUCUUACUUGAUUUUGAUAACAAAUGUUUGCUCCCACAUUCGCCUCUAAGUCUUAGUACAAUGUGCGGUAACACUUUAUUUACACUACCCUUGAUACAUUGUACCUGCCACAUUAAGUACAAUGUAAUGUGCUGUGUAACACUGCGUAAUAACUUGUACCUACAGGUUACAUACACAAUGGAAUAAUGUGUACUAGUAUUUUGGUACAUAAUGUAAUAAGACAUAAGACCCAAACUCUUACCCUAACCUUAAGCCCUAACCCUAAGGGUUAUUACAUUAUGCACCUACAUUGUUACAUAGCACAUUACAUUGUACUAAAUUUAGUUGAGUACAAUGUAUCAAGGUAGUAAAAUAAAGUUUUACCCAAUGUGCCAAUAAGUCUGCUCAGAAAGAUGGAGGUUGGGCUUGGACUAAUAAGUCAGUUGUAUGUUUCAGAUUUUUGCUCCAUAAGGCAGGGGUUUUCAAAGUGGGGGUCAGGACCUCUCAGGCGGUUGCUAGAUGAUUUUGAGAUGUGAUUUAUUUUACAUUUCAUUUCAUUACAUUGAAUUUGAUGUAUUUUUGAUUGAAAACAUAAUAUUUUACUGAAAUUAAGCCACAUGCACUAUCCAAAGUAACGUCACUAAACCAGAUUUUAAAUAUUGUGCACCAGAAUUUAUUAUAAAUACUAAUUACGUAAAAUUGUGGGAACCCAUGCCAUAAGUUUGAUUUGAUUUGAUUUGAUUUGGAUUUAUUUGAGCAAUUAUUUACAUUAUUAUAUUUACACUGUCACAUGAAACCAAAAAAAUAACUCAAAAGGAGUAGGCCGAAGCAAGAAAGCUUAUAAGUGCCUACCCCAUAUUCAAGAUACUUCCAUGCAUUUCAAGAUUAUUUCUAAGAGAAUACAAACAUAGUCUACUAAAAUGUACAUUAUUGAAGCGCAUGUGUCCAGCUGCAGGCAAAAUUUCACAUUACAAUACCUGAGUUACCCAGGCACAGACACAGCCGGGGCGUGCGUGUGCCUGUUUAAAUAAAAGUAAUUUGCAAAUAACAAGUUCAUAUGCAUGUUUCUCAUUGCUAUCAUACCCGCUUUUUUUGAUUGUUUUCCCUAUUUUGUGAGGUGCGUUAAAAAGCCAGGGUGUUAUGUGGCAAGCUGGUAGAGGGCGGUAGCCCCCCCACAAGCGAGCCCCCACCCUGCUGCCCUAACUAGUUGAUGUUGUGAACAGCUUUGUAAACCUAUGCUGAUUGGUGCUUUAAAAAGACCAGAUUUAUGAGCCUGUUGAGAGGGGGCCCUACAACAGGUCCACAUCUCGCCUGCCCCAAUUCUAUUUUAUUUUGUAAUGACCAGUGGAAGCAGCCAUAACAGCAUUUUUGGUUAUCUUUCGCUUGUAAUUUAUCUCAAGUUCCUUUAAUUCAGAUCAAAUAGACUUGGUAGAUAGAGUUGGUGACCAUUGAUUAUAUCAGCAAUGAUGUGGUAUUUCACAAGUUCACAGUAAUACAGAUUACUUAAAGAGAGUGACUGAGAGACAAGGUCACAUGUCUUUAGCAUACUUCUCAAACACACUUCUCUUAUACUGUCUUGAAUUGCUGUAGACAAGCUGCACCUUUUAAGUCUUCAUCUAAAUUAAUCCACAGAUUUACUUCUCUCCGUGUAAUACAGUGACUUUUUAGGGUGGAAUGAAUACAUUGUACUUUCAGAUUAUGAGUUCCCCUUAGAUUGUAUCUUCCCUUUGUGAUGGUUUUUAUGUUGAUGCACUUUUCUUUUACUUGGUUGAAAGGCGUUUGAUGAUGUUAUGAUCGCAGAUAAAGGACAGGGCCGCUGUUCUUGAAAGGAUUAUAACCUUAUUUCCUUAAAGGAACAGGCCA
ensembl:lncRNA